rnacentral:rRNA from 1 species
AUACGGAGGGUGCAAGCGUUAUUCGGAAUCACUGGGCGUAAAGGACACGUAGGCGGGAAGCCAAGUCUGAUGUGAAAUCCUAUGGCUCAACCAUAGAACUGCAUUGGAAACUGGUUACCUAGAGUAUGGGAGGGGGAGAUGGAAUUAGUGGUGUAGGGGUAAAAUCCGUAGAUAUCACUAGGAAUACCUAAAGCGAAGGCGAUCUCCUGGAACAUUACUGACGCUAAGGUGUGAAAGCGUGGGGAGCGAACAGGAUUAGAAACCCGAGUAGUCC